UGGCGGACGGGUGAGUAAUGUCUGGGAAACUGCCCGAUGGAGGGGGAUAACUACUGGAAACGGUAGCUAAUACCGCAUAACGUCGCAAGGCCAAAGAGGGGGACCUUGGGCCUCUUGCCAUCGGAUGUGCCCAGAUGGGAUUAGCUAGUAGGUGGGGUAACGGCUCACCUAGGCGACGAUCCCUAGCUGGUCUGAGAGGAUGACCAGCCACACUGGAACUGAGACACGGUCCAG
rnacentral:rRNA from 1 species